rnacentral:rRNA from 1 species
GUUUAGGGGUAAACCUGAGAACCCCGAAAGGUCGAAGGGAGAAAUUCAUUCGCGUUUCGAUGUUGGCGUGAGGCGGUCAUGUGACGGAGAGGGUUCGCUCGAUCCGCGCCUUCCGUUUUUCGAUCCGACGUCGAACGCGUGCACUUUUCUCCUGGUAGGACGUCGCGAUCCGUUGGGCGUCGAUCUACGGCCCGAGGUGGAGCCCGCAUGGUUUCGUGCCAAGCGGACCCUCGGUGUCCUGGCCGACUCSCUCGACGGUAUACGAACGGUCGAGGGCCGCUUUCAUAGCGUUCGACUCGUUGCAAGCGCGUCGGAAGCGUCGGAUACCGGAUCUGAUGCCGUUACCGACCUCCGAUGGCCGUUGGCGACGAAGUUCUCGGACAGACCCUCAUGACCGAUCAGCGACGCUAUAGCUUUGGGUACUUUCAGGACCCGUCUUGAAACACGGACCAAGGAGUCUAGCAUGUGCGCGAGUCAUUGGGAAUCACUAAACCUAAAGGCGUAAUGAAAGUAAAGGUUCGUCUUGCACGAGCCAAGGGAAGAUGGGCGGUUUGCCCUUAAAAGCGGCCGCACCGCACUCCCGGGGCGUCUCGUUCUCAUCGCGAGAAGAGGCGCACCAAGAGCGUACACGCUGGGACCCGAAAGAUGGUGAACUAUGCCUGGUCAGGACGAAGUCAGGGGAAACCCUGAUGGAGGUCCGUAGCGAUUCUGACGUGCAAAUCGAUCGUCGGAACUGGGUAUAGGGGCGAAAGACUAAUCGAACCAUC